AUUGCUUUGAAGAGAGAAGUGGUGACGAACCUUCCUCCCAUCCGAGGGAAGGCUCAGAGCACCAAAAGCCUCCUGCCAGAAACAGUUCACUAAUAAAAGCCUGCUGACUUUUGCACCAGUCUCUUCAGAGAUUAAAAAUGGUUCUCUGUUCUUGAAGAAUCACUCCUCCAAGGCCAAGAGAGUUAUGCUGGAGCAAAACAUGAACAUGGCAAGAAAGAAGCAGCUCAUCCUGAGCUCAUUGUCAGCAUGCUUGUAUGGAUGAUUUUCUGACAAAUCAUUUACACUUCUGCCCUUCAGAUGUCCAAUUCUGAGCUGUUUUGGUGUGUUAUUCCUCCUCAGAAGUCUCUUUGGUACAGAUGAGGGCUGCAUUUAUUUUUUAAUAUAAAUCACAUAAUCACAGAAAAUAAGACUUGAGAGAGAGCAGCAUAACCCAUAGAGGAAGAUACAUCUACCUGGAGGCGCUGCUGCAAGGAGGCGCUCCAUGGGGAUUCACACUGAAGGGCGGACUGGAGAACGGGGAGCCAUUAAUCAUCUCAAAGGUUGAAGAGGGAGGCAAAGCAGACUCCCUGCCUUCUAAGCUGCAGGCUGGUGACGAGGUGGUGAACAUCAAUGAGGUGCAACUGAGCAGCUCCAGGAGAGAGGCCAUUUCCCUUGUUAAAGGGUCCUACAAGAAACUCAAGCUAGUUGU